rnacentral:lncRNA from 1 species
GAGAAGGGCUGUGUGCAGCAUGAAAGCCAAGUGCUACCUGGUAAGGAGGUGGGGGAAUGUCCCUACUUGUGAUGGACAAGAUUGUCUUCACAUGACAGUGGACUUUCAUUCUGGGUGGCCUGAACAAUGGGCUUGCCAGGAGUGGCCCCCCUUCCUUCUCCCAGUGAGAAGGCCCACACCCAAGCUCAGCUUAUCUUGGGACUGGGGGCUAUUCCCGUAUUCUGAGUAUUCUGUGCCCCCCUCUCCCUGGCCAGCUGGGGACACGGUACUAUCCACAGGCCCGAGGUAUCCAGUUACUGGCAUCCUCAACUCAACAACUCCUGUAAUGGGCUGGCACCCCAAAUCCAGACUGCACGGUGCCAAGCAGCCUCUGUUGACAAGGCUGCUCUCUCAUGCCAGUUGCAUACAAAGGCGGGGUGAUGGCAGGAAGACCCUUCUUCGGGGACGCACACUGGAAAGCAGGCCCAGUUACUGCUGCCCUGGCUCCCCUCCCCGGGGAUGAAAGGGAUCUCAGCCAAGAACGCAGACGAGGAGAGGGAAAAGGAUCUCUCCUCCCCUAUGUGUCCACUGCGACUGCCUUCUCUGCCAGGAAGCCUUCUGUGACCACCUCUCCAAUUCUGGGUCAGUCUCUCCGUCCUCUCACCUCCAGUGCCCCUUGGGAUCUGAUCCACUCCCUUGACAGGCAAUGGCCUUGUCCAGCAGGUUAACCUGGGCAUGUUUUAAGCAUAUUGUCAUGGUGAUCACAGAGAAGUAAGAGAAGAAACAGAAACACAUAGACACUUGUUCAAACCUCUACUUGUGUCAAGUCUUCUAACGUCAUCGUCAUUGUAAUGGCCAAAGCAAGUUGCACGGCCAAGCUCAUAUUCUUCAAGAGAGUGGAGAGAUACAUUCAGCUUCUGUUAUGAAAGGAAUUGCUAAUUCACAGGACAAAGGACACGGAUAUAGGGAAGGGUGAAGAAAU